CUUGGUCAAAGUCUCAAUUUUUUGUGUUCGGUCCAAAGAGCAGAGCUAAACAAUAGCUUUACGAUCCUUAAAAAUACAUUCAAGACCCGAUCUUAGAAAACAGGC